rnacentral:rRNA from 1 species
AACGAACGCUGGCGGCAUGCCUAACACAUGCAAGUCGAACGAGAUCUUCGGGUCUAGUGGCGCACGGGUGCGUAACGCGUGGGAAUCUGCCCUUUGGUUCGGAAUAACAGUUGGAAACGACUGCUAAUGCCGGAUGAUGACGAAAGUCCAAAGAGUUAUCGCGAGAGGCUGAGCCCGCGUCGGAUUAGCUAGUUGGUGUGGUAAAGGCGCACCAAGGGCACGAUCCGUAGCUGGUAUGAGAGGAUGAUCAGCCACACUGGGAAUGAGAAACGGCCCAGACUCCUACGGGAGGCAGCAGUGGGGAAUAUUGGACAAUGGGCGAAAGCCUGAUCCAGCAAUGCCGCGUGAGUGAUGAAGGCCUUAGGGUUGUAAAGCUCUUUUACCCGGGAUGAUAAUGACAGUACCGGGAGAAUAAGCUCCGGCUAACUCCGUGCCAGCCGCCGCAGUAA